GCCUGCUUCCUAUGGUGGGGGAGUCAUCUCCAGCUCUUCACUGAUGAAGCGGACUGAAGCUAUGUGAAGGGAAAGCCUCAGAUGACUGAAAGCUGGAUCUAAAUACCUUUUUAUCAGGGAAAGUCUGGUCCUUGGUUCUAACUGAACAGCCCAAAGUCCAUCCCUAUAGCUUCCAGGUGACAUUUUACUGGGCAACAGAUUCAUCCCUACAGAAGGGCCUGAGAUUCAUCUUCUGCCUGAAGCACAAAGGACAAGUUGGCUUCUCCUUUCUGAAGACAGGUAACAUCGUGGUAAAGCACAAGCUUCCUGUUUAGCAACCUAGGAAAGGUUCCAAAUGAAUCUGGAGAAGGCGGACCAGAGAGGGCCAACUUCAUGCACGCAACUGACAAAAAGAGAGUGAAAUAGAUGCAGGAACCCCAUUGCUGACCCUCCUUGAGUCAUCAAAGACUUGCUGGUUUAUUUUGUGAUAUAAACAAUUCAUGAAGCAAAUUAAAAGGUAAUAAUAUUUUCUUUCAUCUGGAUGAU